rnacentral:rRNA from 1 species
CGUACAGGUCUCCGUAGGUGAACCUGCGGAGGGAUCAUUACACAAAUAUGAAGGCGGGCUGGAACCUCUCGGGGUUACAGCCUUGCUGAAUUAUUCACCCUUGUCUUUUGCGUACUUCUUGUUUCCUUGGUGGGUUCGCCCACCACUAGGACAAACAUAAACCUUUUGUAAUUGCAAUCAGCGUCAGUAACAAAUUAAUAAUUACAACUUUCAACAACGGAUCUCUUGGUUCUGGCAUCGAUGAAGAACGCAGCGAAAUGCGAUAAGUAGUGUGAAUUGCAGAAUUCAGUGAAUCAUCGAAUCUUUGAACGCACAUUGCGCCCUUUGGUAUUCCAAAGGGCAUGCCUGUUCGAGCGUCAUUUGUACCCUCAAGCUUUGCUUGGUGUUGGGCGUCUUGUCUCUAGCUUUGCUGGAGACUCGCCUUAAAGUAAUUGGCAGCCGGCCUACUGGUUUCGGAGCGCAGCACAAGUCGCACUCUCUAUCAGCAAAGGUCUAGCAUCCAUUAAGCCUUUUUUUUCAACUUUUGACCUCGGAUCAGGUAGGGAUACCCGCUGAACUUAAGCAUAUC